rnacentral:rRNA from 1 species
AGAGUUUGAUCAUGGCUCAGAAUCAACGCUGGCGGCGCGCUUAACACAUGCAAGUCGCACGAGAAAGUGGAGCAAUCCAUGAGUACAGUGGCGUACGGGUGAGUAACACGUGGAUUAUCUACCUUCUAGUGGGGAAUACCUCCGGGAAACUGGAGACAAUACCGCAUAAGCUCGUAAGAGGAAAGCAGCAAUGCGCUGGAAGAGGAGUCCGCGGCUGAUUAGCUAGUUGGCGGGGUAACGGCCCACCAAGGCGAAGAUCGGUAGCCGGCCUGAGAGGGCACACGGCCACACUGGCACUGAAACACGGGCCAGACUCCUACGGGAGGCAGCAGUGGGGAAUCUUGCACAAUGGAGGAAACUCUGAUGCAGCGACGCCGCGUGAGCGAUGAAGCCCUUCGGGGUGUAAAGCUCUUUCGACGGGAACGAUAAUGACGGUACCCGAAGAAGAAGCUGCGGCUAACUACGUGCCAGCAGCCGCGGUAAUACGUAGGCAGCAAGCGUUGUUCGGAAUUACUGGGCGUAAGAGUGUGUAGGCGGUGCUCUAAGUCUGUCGUGAAAUCUCCCGGCUUAACUGGGAGGGUGCGGCGGAAACUGGAAUGCUAGAGGAUGGGAGAGGUAAGCGGAAUUCCUGGUGUAGCGGUGAAAUGCGUAGAUAUCAGGAGGAACACCUGUGGUGUAGACAGCUUACUGGACCAUUUCUGACGCUGAGACACGAAAGCGUGGGUAGCAAACAGGAUUAGAUACCCUAGUAGUCC